CCUACGGGAGACAGCAGUGAGGAAUAUUGGUCAAUGGGCUUACGCCUGAACCAGCCAAGUCGCGUGAGGGAAGACUGCCCUAUGGGUUGUAAACCUCUUUUGUCAGGGAGCAACGCCGGCUACGUGUAGCCGGACUGAGAGUACCUGAAGAAAAAGCAUCGGCUAACUCCGUGCCAGCAGCCGCGGUAAUACGGAGGAUGCGAGCGUUAUCCGGAUUUAUUGGGUUUAAAGGGUGCGUAGGCGGAAUGCCAAGUCAGCGGUAAAAUCGCGGGGCUCAACCUCGCUCCGCCGUUGAAACUGGCGGUCUUGAGUGGGCGAGAAGUAUGCGGAAUGCGUGGUGUAGCGGUGAAAUGCAUAGAUAUCACGCAGAACUCCGAUUGCGAAGGCAGCAUACCGGCGCCCAACUGACGCUGAAGCACGAAAGCGUGGGUAUCGAACAGGAUUAGAUACCCCAGUAGUC
rnacentral:rRNA from 1 species